rnacentral:siRNA from 1 species
CGGAUUUGGCGGGAUGAGUUUGG